ACUAUUGACAUGUUUAUACAAAGAUACCACUUGAUAGAUUUCAUAUUUUUAUUGAAGCAACACAAAUAACCAAAAACGACCAAUCAGCAAAGGGCUUCAUGUUUAAUAUGGAUGUAACCGAUUUGCGUUCAUACCGGCAUGAACAUUUAAAAAACGCCAUUCAAUCCCUUUAUGUUGACAUUAGUGAAAUGUUAUCAUGGGAAAUUAGCAUAACAUAAUAUGUAUAUAUGAACACAUUGUAUUUCGUCAAAUGUAAUGAUUAAAGAUGAAUUAUAAAUACAGUACGGAUAUCAUAUAUUACAUCAAUGUAGUGCUUAACCAUUACAAUUAUAACGUAUAUAAGGAUAAAUACUAUUUGACUAGAAAUAAAUCUUCAUUCCAAAUGAAACCUACUAUACCAUUCAUAUUACAAUGCUGCUAUGUUUGCUACAGUGUAUAUAAAGCGCUGAGGUCGCUACACCUACACUUAUAUGAGAUUAACGCGGGCACUACCUGUGUGUUAGAAAUCACAUGACCGGUACACGCAUAUUUGUGUAAGCGUUAUACAUGUUGACAAAAUACGUAUGUUCUUAUUCAAUACCAGAUCAAUUUCUCAGAAUUCGCAAUAGACAACAUCAGAUUAAUUGAAAAUAACACGGCUACGUUUCAAUUUUCGAACAAACUAUUUAAGGAUUCAUGUUUUGUAUGUGGUGUAGGCAGGUCGUUUAUAACUUAGUUUGACGUGUCCUUACAUGUCCUUUAUAACCUUGGUAGUCGUGUCUUAUUGAUUAAUUAAUUAAUCAACGUGCAAUGUUUUGUUACCAAUGUCUAUUUUAACAUAGAGUGGUAGGUGGACGAAGCCUUUAGAAGUAACAUGUAUACAGAAUUGCUAAGAAGAUGAGUGCCAGAGCCAUAUUCUGUCUACAGCUGCUUUUUGUGUUAUGUACGAUGUUCUUUAGCAGGAGUGAAGUUGAAUCACCUGUGCUAACCUCGAGUGUCAAGAAAAAUGGUUUGGACAAUUUGGGGAGUUUACGAUCAAAACAUGUGACAAAAUUGGAGGAAAGACAACGCAACGCUGGAGUGAAACACAUUUUGUAUAACAUGCUACAUCUAACAGAUGUUGGAAAAAGGCAUUGAUCAAUCUCUUUAUAUCUAUUUCUUAUUACGGGAGAAGUCAAUUGAUAAGUUGGAAAAACUUACCGACUAAUC